GUUGUUGUGAGGAAAUUGCCUCCUUCUAUGAAUUUAGAAUCAUUUUGGACAAUGUGUCUCCAUUACCAGACAAUGAUUACAUUAAUUUUGUGCCUGCCGAUAAUUCACUCUUCCCCUCAACUAUUCUAGAGGAUAUAUCAAUUUUUCCAAUCAAGAAGACCUACUCAUUUUCACUCAGAAAUUUGAUAAUUAUGUUUUUGUGGAUGCCAAAGGACACGAGUAUCCAGCUUUAGUUGAGUUUGCACCCUUCCAGAGAAUACCUAAGGUGAAAACAAACAAGAAAAAAGAUGGUAAAUGCAGCACAAUAGAAGAUGAUCCUCACUAUAUCAAAUUCAAAGAACGGUUGCAAGCAGAAGAAGAAGAAAAUGAGAGUGGCAAACAAAAUGUCUUUGAAACAACUUUACCUGAUGAUGUUCCUGAGAAAGUCACAUCAACGCCCCUACUGGACUAUCUCCGUAAGAGACGUGAAGAGAAGAAAAGAAUUCGUGAAGAGAAGAAGGAGGAACGCAAGAAACGGGAAUUGGAAAGAAGAAAAGUGAAGGAUGAACAACGAAAAGCCAAAAAAGUGGCUUCCACGGUUUCAACAUCAGUAACUGCUUCUGUCUCUUCUGAUACCUAUGAACCAGUGGAAACUUCUGCAAUGAAUUCUGCUAGCGCUGGUUUGAAGGAGAAAGACCGAAUUAAGGAUAAAGAUCCUCUUGGAAAAAGAGGAGCCAAAGAUUUGUUGAAAGCUAUCAAAGUAAAAGAAAAACUAAAUUCAAUUUCGAAGGAUAAAGAAAAAUCUGGGAAAAGCUACAGAGAGGAAAGAUUACGCCGAAUCGAGCAGCGUGAGGAGCUGCGGAAAAAGAGCUCAAAAACUGGUGAUUCAAAUGAGACCAUUAAUCAAGAGUCUGGUGAUAAGGAUAAAAGAUUGAUAAUUCUCCAACGCACAGUCAGCAUGAUGACAAAGAAGACAAGUACAAAAAGCAAAACCGAAAUAGACAGUUUCCAGAAACCGAGAAAGAAAGAAUAUGAGAAACGAAGCAGUGAGUAUUACAAAGGAAAAAAUAAAGAUUUUCAAAGUGAUAAGCCUAAGAAAAAAAUACUUGUUCAUAAACCUCAAGAUGGCUCAAGUGUUUCAGAAAAUAAGGAAAAUAAUUCAAACUGUGAUAAAGGUAAGGAGGGCGAAUCGGAGGAGGCUCCAGAAAAACAGGGAGCUAAAUUAAAAUCAGGCGUUGGGUCCCAGGACUCGGUCGGAAAAUCUGGAGAAACCGAAAAGAAAGAUAAACCAUCCAAAGACUCAGACUCUAUCCAGAAAAAAAGUAAAUCUCAAGAUACCUCUGUGAAACCAAGUAGUUCCGUCAAAAAGAAAGCGGAAAAUGAUAAAGAACAAUCAAAAAGACGAGUGAAUCCUCCACCUCUUUGGCAAAUACUAAAAACUCUGAAGACUCUUCAGUUAAACCACUAGAGCACAAGAAAAUCUCCAAAAACCAGUCUUCAUCUCUAGGAAAUUCCACAGAAGGAGACAUUUCUCCUGUGCCGAAACCAGAACGGAGAAGAUCUCUUGAGUCACAAGAUUCAGUUCAGGAUAGUGAUUCUCAAUCAAGAAAGGAUCCCAGAACUGAAAGACGGAUCAGAAACAAGGUAUGUAUCUUCAUAGUAUUUUUUCAUAUGCUCUUGGAAUGUUUACAAAUACAGCGUUUAAAUCAGCGUAUAGUACUAAUAAUGGGUCUGUUGCAUGCAAGAGAUACAGCCAAAUAAAUAUACUCUUUGUGGGUAAAGUCGCAAGUAUCGUAAAAUUGCAAUGUGUUAAAAUUAAAUCUACCAUCAAAGUCACGUCAGGGUUCUUUAUUGUUGUAUCUAUUUUUUAAUUUAAGAAAUUUAGAGUUAUAUAGAGAAAUAGAAAGAAAUUUAGAGAUGUAUUUCGGCUUUUUUGUAACAUAACACAAUUUACAUUAGUGUCAAUUUUUGCAUCAUUGUAUUCCUAACAUCAUAAACGACUAUAAUCAGGCAAGUCAACUGCACAGUAUUUGUCAUCAUCUGUCUGCACAGCUGACUUGUUUAUGUCUUUGGACAAAGCGUUGCCCUUGUUUGCUGUUUAUGCUCAGAACAUUUAAAUCCGUGGUCAGCAUAGACAGACAGGGUUGCCACGGUCAGGGAAUUCAGGGAAAACCUGGGAAAGUCAGGGGGGAAAAAGUGCUCUGAAAAACCUGGAAAAGUCAGGGAAUUUGACCAAAAACAGCUAAAAGUCAGGGAAAAAUUGACAAUUUUCAUGAGUUGCGUAAAAUCUUUCUUUUUUCGGUUCUGAACGCACACCAGGGAAAACCCUUUUUUUUUAGAGUGUUUCUUCAAAAGAACAAUCGUUCAAAAGUUUUCAUUUUUAAAACAAUUAUUGGGUUGCUCAAGAAAGUCAAAAGCAUCAAAAUUAAAAGAAAAAGUUAACAACCCUUUUUGUAUUUCCAAAUGUUCUACAUUUAAUUUCUGACUCCUUAGCUUAAGCGCGUUUCAAAUGAGACGCUAUAUUAGUGCGAUGGUAGCUAGCAAGGUGUUAAUUUGGCUGUGCAAUCAUGGCUUGCGUUCUCAAAGGUCAGGGAAUUUCUCCAUUUUUCGUCAGGGAAAACCUGGAAAAGUCAGGGAAAAUCAUUUCCAAAUUUUUGUGGCAACCCUGGACAGAAAGUAAACCACCAACUAGAAGCUCUAGCCAUCAAAUUUUUAUUAAAAUCAUUAGCAAAGGCAUAGAUUGUUUCAGUUCUACUGGAUUUAUUUUCUUAGUUAAUUUCAAACUUUGUUUCAUUUUUUAUCAGGACCGACCAGCGCUGGAGAUUUAUAGACCCGGCAUGGGUAGAUACAGCAAGCAGAGGUUAGAGAAAGUUUUAGGAAGCAGCACCGAGCGUGAUACCCCCUCUCCAAGUCCGUCAAUCACAUCCAACUAAAAUUGAAAAUAGGCACCUAAGCCAAUAAUAUGUUUCUUCAAAGUAACUAAUUAUGAUUGUACAUUUAAGUUUUUAAGAUUUUUGUUAAAAAUAAAUAUUUUUCAGUUUUUUAAGACUUGUUUCAAGCAAACGAAAUUUUUCCAAGAACUCGUAUUUCCAGAACCACCGCUUUGAAAUGGAUACAUGGUAUAUUUCAGCUAGUUUACUCAGUUGAACGACUUAUGUUUCCUUUCUAAUCAGUAACUUAAGGCAGAAGGGUCGUAACUACAUUUUUUUUCAAUCUCAUGAGAAAUUACAAGUAAAUUGCCCAGUUGCCUUAUUGCCUCCGACAUAACUCAAAAUUUUUUAAGUUUUGCAUCUUGCGCCUGGAGUUGGAUAUGACGACUAAAUUUUUUCACCCAUAUAAAGCCAUCUCCCAGUGUAUUGUCAAUGAUAAUGAUUUCACCAAUAUUUUGUUAGAACCCUUUUGCUCUAAGCAACUGAUAUCGUCAGUCCCCAGGUAAAGGAUCGUAGCUUUUCAAAGAUGAGAAAUUUUCACUCACAUACUGUGAAUUUGCUAGAGAACUGUUGAGCAUUACUCUUAGAAAUUUUCAAUAAUUUUUUCCUCUUACUAGAUGCAAAAAUCAGCAAAAUUUUGUACAGAAAUUGCAUGGUCAUAUUCUUGUCAGAAAUUGAAUUGUUUAAGUCAUUUUUGCGACCUUAGAAUGAAGUUACGUUCCUUCGUGCAAGAAACAACCCACCGCACAAUUUUCGAAAAUGUUAAGUCUCUUCAAGAGUAGCCACAUUUGUCAUGAAAAAGAAAACCUUUUAUGCAUUGAUUUUCCUAACUUCUAAGUUAAAAUUUGAAAAUAAAGUGUGUAGGUAUUAAUGAAUCUUGUUGGAAGAAAGUCGGAUUUUUCCUUUGAUGAUCGUAAUCAACAGUGGUUUCAAGUUUAUUUGCAGAGAAAGGUCAUAUGCAUUUAGCUAGACUCUGCAAUACUUUUUUCGAUGAAUUUCAUCUCCAACAUGCAGCUUUCUUUCUUCAUCAUGCUCUCUCUCCUAUAAAAACUUGGCACCUUAAGGAAAACUCUACAAUACAAGAGAAAACUUUGAUUGAAAUAAAAAAAUUGUCCACUCUUGAUUGUUAUAUGUUGUUCUGAAAAGAAAAAAAAGAUGGAAAACGCGGAAGUCAACCUAGAUAAAAAUCCGACUUUCAGAGCAUCCAACUGAGUUGAACUUUUAUGUAAUUCAAUACUUUAUAAAAACAGGAUGUCUUCACUAUGUCCCAACAAUGUCUUGAAUGGAAUAAUUUUAAAUUACAUUUGUCUUGAAAGAAUUUCAAAAUUUUAUCGUACAGUCAAACUUUUGUUGUCAAUUUGAGAUGAUGACGCACGUACGAUAAUUGAGAACUCUUGGAAUAUGUUGUAAUAAUAAAAAACAAAAAAACUGACUUUAAUAAUAAAACAAAAAAACUGACUUUAGGAUUAAAAAAUGUCCUUAAAAUGACCAAAAUGACCUUAAGAUGUUACCGAGUAACUGGAGUGCUGGAUAAUUGAGCGCAAAUAACAGAGCACAGAAUGACUGCGCGCAGGAUAACGGAGGUUCAACUGUGCAUGUGAAUUUUAUUGAGGUUGUACAAUAGGAAGGGAAAGAAUUUUGAAUGAAAGCUACAAUAUAGGGAACAUGUACAAUUUAUUAGCUAUUCAACAGCUCAAUAUCACCGAUGACGAAAGUCGCCAACAAAUUG
rnacentral:lncRNA from 1 species